AUAUAGCCUCUCUACUGUAUAUAGCCUCUCUACUGUAUAUAGCCUCUCUACUGUAUAUAGCCUUGCUGCUAUUCAUUUUUCACUGUAUUUUUACUGUUGUUUUUUUUAUUUAUUUUUACUUAUCUAUUGUCAACCUAAUACCAUUUUUUUUUACUUAGAAAAUGCACUGUUGGUUAGGGCCUGUAAGUAAGCAUUUCACCUGUUGUAUCCGGCGCAUGUGACAAAUAAACGUUGAUUUGAGUUGAUUUGACUAUCUCAAGAUAAAUUAUGCUGGAGAAUUUGAUGGUCUUUGCACGUCUUUAAGCUAUUUAUAACAUUACUCCCUUGAACCGCCCUGACGAUCAGAUAUGUUUUGAAGAUCAAAGGUCAAGUUAAGGGUCACUGCUCUCUCUCCCUGAAGAAGUGUGAGAGGAAUGUUAUGUUUGGGGUGGCAGCGUCGUGGUUAGAACAUUGGACUAGUAACCGGAAGGUUGCAAGUUCAAAUCCCCGAGCUGACAAGGUACAAAUCUGUUGUUCAGGGGCAGAACAGGCAGUUAACCCACUGUUCCUAGGCCAUCAUUGAAAAUAAGAAUUUGUUCUUAACUGACUUGCCUAGUUAAAUAAAGGUAAAAUAAAAAAAUGUUACUCUCAGAACAGGACUAUGGUAUGAGAGAGAGAGUCAGCUGACUGACGGUGUAUGAGAUGUUGUUUUCACAUAAGGACCAGGAGGAAUGUGCAGCACUGGCCCAAAGACCUAUAUGAACCAUGUGAUGCUAGGCUGAUGUUCUGAAAAUACAGGUCAUAUGUUUUAUGGCUCCUGGCGUUGUAUUUCAUUUUUUGGUCUCUAUCAGUAUUUGUGUCUUUCUGUCUGCUGCAAUUAUGAAUCUCCUCUGGGUAUAAUCAAAGUACUUAUUAAUCUAUUGAAAGAAAGGGUAGAUCAUUACCUUUCAGUGCACUGGUAGGGCUUGAUUGUUUUUCUUCUCCAAUUAGGAGAUCGUAUCACCCUAAAGUCUAUAAUCACCAUUAACUCUCCUCUCUCCGUAUCAAGGUAAUUACUAGCAUCACAGCAGUUAUUAACCUGUUUUGCUUUUUUGUUUCCUGUGAUGCAGAUCGGCGUUUAAAGCGAGUGGCUACUUUGGAGCAGAGCUGUGCUGUUGAAGUACAAUCAUCAGGCUUAGACCAGAUAGUGUUCCUGUCAGGUAGACUCCCUCUCUAGCCUCUAGGUCAUCAGGCUGAGACCAGAUAAAACUGUGUUCCUGUCAGGUAGACUCCCUCUCUAGCCUCUAGGUCAUCAGGCUGAGACCAGAUAGUGUUCCUGUCAGGUAGACUCCCUCUCCAGCCUCUAGGUCAUCAGGCUGAGACCAGAUAGUGUUCCUGUCAGGUAGACUCCCUCUCCAGCCUCUAGGUCAUCAGGCUGAGACCAGAUAGUGUUCCUGUCAGGUAGACUCCCUCUCCAGCCUCUAGGUCAUCAGGCUGAGACCAGAUAGUGUUCCUGUCAGGUAGACUCCCUCUCCAGCCUCUAGGUCAUCAGGCUGAGACCAGAUAGUGUUCCUGUCAGGUAGACUCCCUCUCCAGCCUCUAGGUCAUCAGGCUGAGACCAGAUAGUGUUCCUGUCAGGUAGACUCCCUCUCCAGCCUCUAGGUCAUCAGGCUGAGACCAGAUAGUGUUCCUGUCAGGUAGACUCCCUCUCCAGCCUCUAGGUCAUCAGGCUGAGACCAGAUAGUGUUCCUGUCAGGUAGACUCCCUCUCCAGCCUCUAGGUCAUCAGGCUGAGACCAGAUAGUGUUCCUGUCAGGUAGACUCCCUCUCCAGCCUCUAGGUCAUCAGGCUGAGACCAGAUAAAACAUUGUCCAUGUCAGGUAGACUCCCUCUCCAGCCUCUAGGUCAUCAGGCUGAGACCACAUAAAACAGCACCCAGACUUGACCAUUGAGCAAAAGCCUGUGCUGUCUUGCAUAUCUGUGAACCAAUGUGGUGGUAAAUCAAACAAACACUACAGUACGUCCCACAUGGCACCCUAUUCCCUACAUAGUGCACUAGUUUAGAUCAGAGCCCUAUUCCCUACAUAGUGCACAAAAUAACAAAGUGAAACAACGAAAAUCGAAACAGUCCUGAAAGGUGACACAACACAAAACAGGAAACAACUACCCACAGACACCAGGUGGGAAAAGGUUACCUAAGUUUGGUUCUCAAUCAGAGACAACGAUAGACAGCUGCCUCUGAUUGGGAACCAUACCAGGCCAAACACAGAAAAGAAACCAUGGAAAAACAACAUAGAAUGCCCACCCCGGGAGACUCUGGAAGGAGAAGACGCAGAGACAGCCUGGUGCAUGGGGCUGCCACAGGGCACACCAGGCUGGGGAGACCUACAGGAGGCCUGGUGCAUAGAGGAGGCACCGGAUAAACCGGGCUGUGGGGGAACACUGGAGCUCUGGUGUACAGCCUUGGCACCACUCUUCCAGGCUGAAUGCCCACUCUUGCCCAGCCCCUCCAGAGUGCAGGCACAGGUAAAACCAGGCUGUGGGGGAGCACUGGAGAUCUGGUGCUUACCACUCGCACCUCUCCAUUAGGCUCAAUACCCACUUUCGCCCGGCACGGGCGGAGCGCAGGCAUAGGACGAACAGCACCCUCCCAGCGCCCCGGAGACACGGUACGCAGAGCCGGCACAGGAUACCCUGGGCCGAAACGGCGCACCGGAGACCAAACGCACUGGGCUGGCACAAUCCGCCCUGGCUGGAUGCCUACUCUCACAUGGCACUUGCUGGGGCUUGGCCUAUAGCGCUCCGGGCUAUGCGCGCGCACUUGCGACACCGUGCUCUUCACCGCAUAACACGGUGCCUGACCAGUACUACGCUGCUUCCGGUAAGCACGGGGAGUUGGCUCAGGUCUAUCGCCUGACUCCGCCAAUCUCCCCAUCUGCCCCCACCAAAACAAUUUUUGGGGGCUGCCUCUCAUUUCAUUUUUUCAUUUAAGUCAUUUAGCAGACGCUCUUAUCCAGAGCGACUUACAAAUUGGUGCAUUCACCUUAUGACAUCCAGUGGAACAGCCACUUUACAAUAGUGCAUCUAAAUCUUUUAAGGGGGGGGGGGUGAGAAGGAUUACUUUAUCCUAUCCUAGGUAUUCCUUAAAGAGGUGGGGUUUCAGGUGUCUCCGGAAGGUGGUGAUUGACUCCGCUGUCCUGGCGUCGUGAGGGAGUUUGUUCCACCAUUGGGGGGCCAGAGCAGCGAACAGUUUUGACUGGGCUGAGCGGGAACUGUACUUCCUCAGUGGUAGGGAGGCGAGCAGGCCAGAGGUGGAUGAACGCAGUGCCCUUGUUUGGGUGCAGGGCUUGAUCAGAGCCUGGAGGUACUGAGGUGCCGUUCCCCUCACAGCUCCGUAGGCAAGCACCAUGGUCUUGUAGCGGAUGCGAGCUUCAACUGGAAGCCAGUGGAGAGAGCGGAGGAGCGGGGUGACGUGAGAGAACUUGGGAAGGUUGAACACCAGACGGGCUGCGGCGUUCUGGAUGAGUUGUAGGGGUUUAAUGGCACAGGCAGGGAGCCCAGCCAACAGCGAGUUGCAGUAAUCCAGACGGGAGAUGACAAGUGCCUGGAUUAGGACCUGCGCCGCUUCCUGUGUGAGGCAGGGUCGUACUCUGCGGAUGUUGUAGAGCAUGAACCUACAGGAACGGGCCACCGCCUUGAUGUUAGUUGAGAACGACAGGGUGUUGUCCAGGAUCACGCCAAGGUUCUUAGCGCUCUGGGAGGAGGACACAAUGGAGUUGUCAACCGUGAUGGCGAGAUCAUGGAACGGGCAGUCCUUCCCCGGGAGGAAGAGCAGCUCCGUCUUGCCGAGGUUCAGCUUGAGGUGGUGAUCCGUCAUCCACACUGAUAUGUCUGCCAGACAUGCAGAGAUGCGAUUCGCCACCUGGUCAUCAGAAGGGGGAAAGGAGAAGAUUAAUUGUGUGUCGUCUGCAUAGCAAUGAUAGGAGAGACCAUGUGAGGUUAUGACAGAGCCAAGUGACUUGGUGUAUAGCGAGAAUAGGAGAGGGCCUAGAACAGAGCCCUGGGGGACACCAGUGGUGAGAGCGCGUGGUGAGGAGACAGAUUCUCGCCACGCCACCUGGUAGUGGCCCCUCUCAUGCCUGCUGCGCUGCCUUACCUCAUAUCGCUGCCUCUACGCUUUCGCCGCCUCCAGUUCAGCUUUCGGGCGGCGAUAUUCCCCAGCCUGACUCCAGGGUCCCUUACCGUCUAAUAUCUCCUCCCAAGUCCAGGAGUCCCGAACCCUCUGCUCCUCCUUACCACGCUGCUUGGUCCGUUGGUGGUGGGUAGUUCUGUAACG